GGAAUUGACGGGGCCCGCACAAGCGGUGGAGCAUGUGGUUUAAUUCGAAGCAACGCGAAGAACCUUACCAGGUCUUGACAUCCCCUGACAACCCGAGAGAUCGGGCGUUCCCCUUCGGGGGACAGGGUGACAGGUGGUGCAUGGUUGUCGUCAGCUCGUGUCGUGAGAUGUUGGGUUAAGUCCCGCAACGAGCGCAACCCUCGUCCUUAGUUGCCAGCAUUAAGUUGGGCACUCUAAGGAGACUGCCGGUGUUAAACCGGAGGAAGGCGGGGAUGACGUCAAGUCCUCAUGGCCCUUAUGUCCAGGGCUACACACGUGCUACAAUGGCCGGUACAAAGGGUAGCAAGACCGCGAGGUGGAGCCAACCCCAAAAAGCCGGUCUCAGUUCGGAUUGGAGUCUGCAACUCGACUCCAUGAAGUUGGAAUCGCUAGUAAUCGUGGAUCAGCAUGCCACGGUGAAUACGUUCCCGGGCCUU
rnacentral:rRNA from 1 species